rnacentral:rRNA from 1 species
CCUACGGGCGGCAGCAGUGGGGAAUAUUGGGCAAUGGGCGCAAGCCUGACCCAGCAACGCCGCGUGAAGGAAGAAGGCUUUCGGGUUGUAAACUUCUUUUCUCAGGGACGAAGAAAGUGACGGUACCGGAGGAAUAAGCCACGCCUAACUACGUGCCAGCAGCCGCGGUAAUACGGAGGGCGCGAGCGUUACUCGGAAUUACUGGGCGUAAAGGGCUCGUAGGGGGUAUGUCAAGUCAAGGGUGAAAUCCCCGCGCCCAACGUGGGAACUGGCUUUGAACCUGGCAAACUGGAGUGUGUGGGAGGGUAGUGGAAUUCCGGGUGUAGGAGUGAAAUCCGUAGAUAUCUGGAGGAACAUCAGUGGCGAAGGCGACUAUCUGGCACAUAACUGACGCUGAGGAGCGAAAGCGUGGGUAACAAACAGGAUUAGAUACCCCAGUAGUC